UAAAAACAAACAAAUGUUACCAGCGUUUUCUGGUCAUUUUUAUAAUGCAACUGAGAGAAGACUAUUAAAUUACCUAAAGAAAUAGCUAAACCAUCGUGCCAUUUGUGCACUUUUGCAGUUAGUAUGUCUUGUUGGAGGCAAUAUUGAGAUAACAGACGCUUACCUGUGAUCAGCAGCUGUGUCCAUAUUAGACAGAAGACAAGAAACAUGGUCCGCAGCAUGAGGGAGGAGACGCCGCCAGAGCUCCAGAGAGACGCUCCAACACCGGUUCCCCGCGAGGCUCCUUCCCCGCCCUUCGAUGUCCUCCAGCGGCCUGGUUAUAGCAGGAACAGCCGCUAUGCAGCAGGAGCAGCUCCGCCUGACAUUCAGAGACAACAGGGAGGUGUUUGGCGAGAUGUGGUUCAGGUGGAGGCUGGUGGUGAUGAUGAAGAGAGAGGAAGAGGACAUUUAGUCAAGAUUUGAUGACAAUAAAUCUCUGUGUGUGUGUGUUUCCUUGUUAAUUUGAUUUUAUUUGUCAGUUUGUUAUAUUUUUUAGCCAUGUUAGCAGCCGGGCAGUGUCGGUAACGUUACAGUAACGUUAAUGGUUGACUAUAACAACAAAGCUACUGAUCGAUAAAAAUAAAAGUGUAAAGUUACAGUUUAUAAAUAAUCAAACUGUCCCCCAAAAUGUUUACGUUGAGCCACCAACAAGUCAAAAUCUCCACUUCGAUUCACGAUAUAAUAACUUAACGUGACCUCAAACAGAAGCGUUAAUGCUAAUAUAGCCACAUUAGCAUUAACGCUUGUUAAUGCUAAUAUAGCCACUAUGCUCAAAAUUAGAAUGUUACAUUAACAUGCUAAUGCCCGUUUAGGCUAACAUAACAUCAACUCCUAAUUUAACCCGAAGCAGCAAAGUGGGGGAAACGUCCACGUCAACUAUUCAUGAUGGAAAUUUGGAAAUUUUAAUAUGAUUCCCAAGUGAUAAAAGCACCGCAGCUUCAGCUAGCAACACUGAAGUAGCAGCUUGUUAUUUACUCUACAGCUAAUUUAGCUAACUAUGCUAAUGCCGUGUCACUUUAUACCGUCUCAAUCAAAAUACAAUGUGAUAUGUUAAAUCACACAAACAGUAAUUACUCGCAGUAAAGCGGGGGGAGAAGCAUUCACAUCAGGCCGUAGCUGUAAUUAUGAGUCAAUUAUAACAUUUAUGGCAGUUAGAAAUAACCACUAGCUUAACGUAAUUAAAGUUAAAACAGUUAAACCUGUGGCAAAAUGGCCGCCACUGACAACAACCGUUAGCCCUUAUCUCCACAUAAAAUAAUAAUAAAAACAAUUGAUUUCGCCGAUUAAAAAGGAGCUAACAAGUCUGUUUUCAGUUUAUAUUAAAGAUUUGCCUCUUAAUCUGUUUAUUUUUUUAAAUUAAUUUAGCUGUUGUCUCUGUCAUUGUGUGCCAACCUCAGCAGUUUUGGAUGAACUGGGAAGCCCUGCCCAUCAUCUGUCUCCUCGUUUCACUUUCAUAACCUGCUCCGAACAACAGUCAACUCAGGUCAACAUCACUGUCCAUUUGGAUGUUUUUCUCCUCUAACCAGCAGCAGCAACAUGCCUCUGGUAAACCCCUGGCUCAGGUGCCUCUUCAUCAGCUUCAACGUCUUC